UAACUUUCCUCGGCUCAUAUGUCACGAUUUUGCGCAAACACAAACAAAUUAGCCGUUUCCCAGCCGAGGGAAGCAGAAACUGAAAGUAAGGGAAAAUUGCCAGAUAAAAAUAUCUCAGUAAGCAGCAAACAUCCACUUGUAUUUCCUCGGAUUUAACAUGUUGAUGAUAAUUUCUCUCGAAUCCUGGGGACCCGAGAGAUAAACCAGUCCUGAACCGAACGGAAAAACUCAGGAAGUUGUAAUGGGCAAGAGAGGGAAAACUGCUACUUUCCGAUUAAGCUUUCCACCUGAACGUGCUUUCCACUUGGGCGAAAUCACUAUUGGGGCUCCAAGUCAAUUUUUACCAGCUAAUUCGUCUGCAAUAUUCCAAGUGGUAAAUAUCAGCGAGUUCGUGACACGUCAGACAAAGAGCGCGCUGCUGCAUUGAAGAGAAAAUUGCGCUUCCCGGAUAGAAUACAAACGUGCAGCCUGGAGAAGUCUUCAUUUAAUUAGAAUUCUUUAUAUUUCAUUCAGUGAGAAAGCCAUUUGUCGUCGGAGGAAUGUGUCGCUCCACUUGAAAAUCUAGUGCUCUCCGAAGCCGCAUCCAGCAGGUAUUCAUGGAUGUGAACGACCGUCCCUUUUAGACAAAAGAUAGUGCUCUUUUGGUUCCGCUUUGGUGAUUCUGCUUCCGGUUCGGUAAGAAGAUUGCUUCCGUUGCUCUGUUGAGGACGUGCCGCGCUUCUGAUUAAAUGUUUCGAUUUUUUGUUUUUUUUUCUGCUCCGAGGAAAAUUAGGAUAAAUUGCACAGGAAACGUACACAACUCAUGCUAACACGGUGAGAAGGUUGCUAAUUAUAAUAAUCCCAGAGAUGGAUUUUAUUUCAGUAAACUGGGAAUACAGUUAAUAUGGAAAUAGCCGAUUAAAUCAAGAUGCAAUUAUUCAUAAAUUCCUAAAUAAUCUACAGUUUGAAGAUCAUUCAAGCCAACGAACAUCACUCACCUCGAAUUGUUUCUUAGAGAAAAUGAACACAAAUUGAUUACAAACUCAUACCUAAUACGUUUUCAUGGUGCAUUUAGCAUGAAGUUGGUAUAAUUUGCAGAGAUCUGGGAGGAACAACUGAAGUGAAGAACCAGUUUCAGAUCUUUAAUCUGCUGAAGGGAUACCUCAACCGACCUUAACUUGGGCAAAGUCAGGCCUCGCUGCGGUAGGUAAUAAGAACACCCUUCCUGUAAUAAAACCAAACAGUUGUGCCGUUAAAAGUAUCAGAACACAAAGACACCGAACAGAUGCCGUGCCAUAAAACAAAAAUUUAGUUGCAACAGAACAAACAACAAGUUCCUCCAUGUAAAUUGAAUCUUUCUCUUCGAGCAAAAACCCAAGAGAGCUUAAUGCAAUAGACACACGCCUAAGUGGCUCUUAUCACCAACUGGAACAUCUUUGACGGCUUCCAAUCAAUUCCACAUUACGUUCGCACAUGUUACAUUGUAGAGAUAGGUAAAAGUAGCAUCUCUCUAAAUAUAUCCCUUGAGAAAGCAUAGCAUGUGCAGAUGUCGACGGACGUGCAUCGGUAACAUACCGUCGAUUGUUUCGCCUGUAUAUAGGGCCCAGACAAAGCAUAGAAACACGCUGGACCAUGAGAAAUGCGCCUGUAUUGAUUAUGCACGCGUGAUAUGAUCACCAGUGGCGUAGAUAAUGACACAAAGAGUGUAACAAUAAAACGAGUGGAUUGGUCAUGGGCUCUGUGACGUCUUCAAACGCCACUAAAUCAUGAAUCACCAGCAAUGCCAGCAAAUUCACUUUUACCAACGCACUUGAACUUGUUUCUUCUUAAAUAUUCAAAGCAUUAGAAUAUAAAUUGAGAGUCCAGCUUUACGACUCACAAAUUAAUACAGAUAAUCGUGCAAAUUCGGGCGAUUUUUUUCCAAAUUGCACUAAAAAUCACAAUGGUAGAUGAAAUACCGAACCUUUUGUGGAACGCCUACUACGCUCUGGAAUAGUUUAUCUCAUUGAGUAAAAAACUUGUCCGAUGUGCUAAUUUCUACCUGGGGAUCAUGCCGAGAGCCCCGAUCCGAUCGGCACCCAAGUGGUAUUACAAAUGUACAGAUCUGUAUCUAUUCUUUAGGAAGCGUCCGUCCCCAUUGGUGAAAAAGCAAGAUCAUUAUGGGCGUUAUAAACAAGGCUUUGCAACCCUUCUAACUUAUCCCGUGCAAGUAUUCACGUUUACAACCCGUAGAAACACUCUUCAAUGUACAGCCAGCCAAACGCAGACGGAUUCCUGCACUCAAAACAAGCAAAAACAAUGCCCGGCAUUACCAUUGAAUCGCAUUAUAGACAUACGAAAUAAUUACAAGCUAGAUGACUGACUAUUAAGUUGUAUUUUUGUGUCAGCGGACGGAUUUUUGCGAAUAAUAAAGCGAGGAUCAAAGACAGCUGAAUGCAACGACCCACCGUUGCCGACUUAAUGAUACGGUGGGUUGCAAGCACACAUUAGUGGCCUUUUUGUGUUGUGCGAAAUGCACGUCUUUCCCAAAUUCCGGUGAAAAAAUGACGGUUAUUUUGUAAUAAUACGCUCGGUUUCUUGCUACAUAUCGGUGUAAUUGAUUCGAAAAGGCCGACUGGAAUCUGGAAUGUUGAAAAGGCUACCUGUGCUUUCAUUUUUCUUAGUCGGGCGAGUGGAACAAGGAGGGGAAAAGAUUCCAGAUGAUUCAUGUGGACAGAUAUAUGGACUAAUAAUUACCACUCCGACAGGACAAUGUAUUGCGACCAACAAAUUUUUAAUACACAGUGAUUUUGUUAAUUAACUGUUUCAAAUUAAAACCGAUACCAUCAUUGGGAUUAAUUGGCUUAAUGGUAAUGUUUGCCUUUAUGAAAAAAUAAUUAUUUUCAUGAAAUAUGCUUCCAAAUUGGUAAUUAAUUGGUGGGUAAUUUAGAGGUGAAUUAAUCCAAUCCAUAUUAUUUAUCACUGAACAUAUAAAUUU